rnacentral:tRNA from 1 species
UGAUAUCUUGGCUUGUAGCAGUCGUAGGAAGGCGAAUAGUGGCUCAUGAGAAAGCUGAU